rnacentral:rRNA from 1 species
CCUACGGGAGGCAGCAGUGAGGAAUAUUGGUCAAUGGACGAGAGUCUGAACCAGCCAAGCAGCGUGAAGGAUGAAUGUCCUAUGGGUUGUAAACUUCUUUUAUAUGGGAAUAAAAUGUUUAACGUGUCGGAUUUUGUAUGUACCAUAUGAAUAAGGAUCGGCUAACUCCGUGCCAGCAGCCGCGGUAAUACGGAGGAUCCGAGCGUUAUCCGGAUUUAUUGGGCUUAAAGGGAGCGUAGGUGGUUUGUUAAGUCAGUUGUGAAAGUUCGCGGCUCAACCGUAGAAUUGCAGUUGAAACUGGCAGUCUUGAGUACAGUAGAGGUGAGCGGAAUUCGUGGUGUAGCGGUGAAAUGCUUAGAUAUCACGAGGAACACCAGUUGCGAAGGCAGCUCACUGGACUGCAACUGACACUGAGGCUCGAAAGUGUGGGUAGCAAACAGGAUUAGAUACCCGUGUAGUC